rnacentral:rRNA from 1 species
UACGAAGGGGGCUAGCGUUGCUCGGAAUUACUGGGCGUAAAGCGCACGUAGGCGGCUUUCUAAGUCGGGGGUGAAAUCCUGGAGCUCAACUCCAGAACUGCCUUCGAUACUGGAAAGCUCGAGUCCGGGAGAGGUGAGUGGAACUGCGAGUGUAGAGGUGAAAUUCGUAGAUAUUCGCAAGAACACCAGUGGCGAAGGUGGCUCACUGGCCCGGUACUGACGCUGAGGUGCGAAAGCGUGGGGAGCAAACAGG